rnacentral:rRNA from 1 species
AUUGAACACUGGCGGCAGGCCUAACACAUGCAAGUCGAGCGGAGCGGCGGACGGGGGAGUAAUGCCUAGGAAUCUGCCUGGUAGUGGGGGAUAACGUACGGAAACGGGCGCUAAUACCGCAUACUAGCCGAGGAGCCUAGGUCGGAUUAGCUAGUUGGGGGGGUAAAGACCUAGCAAGGCGACGAUCCGUAACUGGUCUGAGGGGAUGAUCAGUCACACGGGAACGGAGACACGGUCCAGACUCCUACGGUAGGCGCCAGUGGGGAAUAUUGGACAAUGGGCGAAAGCCUGAUCCAGCCCUGCCGCGUGUGUGAAGAAGGUCUGCGGAUUGUAAAGCACGUUAAUUUGGUAGGCGUUACCAACAGAAUAAGCACCGGCUAACUUCGUGCCAGCAGCCGCGGUAAUUC